GGUGUGUGGAAUAUUUGGACAAUGGGCGCAAGCCUGAUCCAGCCAUGCCGCGUGUGUGAAGAAGGCCUUCGGAUUGUAAAGCUCUUUCAGUUGGGAAGAAAGGGACGAAAUUAAUACCUUGCUGUUUUGAUAAUUCCGAGCCAACAACCACCGGCUUACUUCGUGCCAGCAGCCGCGGUAAUAAAA
rnacentral:rRNA from 1 species